rnacentral:ribozyme from 13 species
AGAAAAGGAGGGAGUGGAGGAGGAGGAGGAAGAGUAAGAUGUGGAGGACUGUUGUGUAUUCUGACAUGUUACUUAUUAAUAAUUUAAUCUUACUAAGUUAUUU